rnacentral:miRNA from 1 species
AAGGUAAAUGACGGAAGAGGAUAGACGGGGACGAGGCGGAGCCUGAAAUGGAUGGUUGAACACCUACAUUAUGGUGUGACUAUUCUUUCCAUGCACUGCCUCUUCCCUGGCUACCCACUCCAUAUCUUUCA